rnacentral:rRNA from 1 species
UACAGAGGGGGCAGGCGUUGUUCGGAAUUACUGGGCGUAAAGGGCGCGUAGGCGGCCUCUUAAGUCGAACGUGAAAUCCCCGGGCUCAACCCGGGAACUGCGUCCGAUACUGGGAGGCUUGAAUCCGGGAGAGGGAUGUGGAAUUCCAGGUGUAGCGGUGAAAUGCGUAGAUAUCUGGAGGAACACCGGUGGCGAAGGCGGCAUCCUGGACCGGUAUUGACGCUGAGGCGCGAAAGCUAGGGGAGCAAACGGG